rnacentral:rRNA from 1 species
AUUGAACGCUGGCGGCAGGCUUAACACAUGCAAGUCGAACGAUGAAACUCUAGCUUGCUAGUGAUGAUUAGUGGCGGACGGGUGAGUAACAUUUAGGAAUCUGCCUAGUAGUGGGGGAUAGCUCGGGGAAACUCGAAUUAAUACCGCAUACGACCUACGGGUGAAAGGGGGCGCAAGCUCUUGCUAUUAGAUGCGCCUAAAUCAGAUUAGCUAGUUGGUGGGGUAAAGGCCCACCAAGGCGACGAUCUGUAACUGGUCUGAGAGGAUGAUCAGUCACACCGGAACUGAGACACGGUCCGGACUCCUACGGGAGGCAGCAGUGGGGAAUAUUGGACAAUGGGGGCAACCCUGAUCCAGCCAUGCCGCGUGUGUGAAGAAGGCCUUUUGGUUGUAAAGCACUUUAAGCAGGGAGGAGAGGCUAAUGGUUAAUACCCAGUAGAUUAGACGUUACCUGCAGAAUAAGCACCGGCUAACUCUGUG